GCAGUGGCAGUUCCGUGGCAGAAUCCUUGUCUUCAACGCAGAAGACCUGGGUUCAAUUCCUGGUCAAUGCA
rnacentral:tRNA from 1 species